rnacentral:rRNA from 1 species
AGGACGAACGCUGGCGGCGUGCUUAACACAUGCAAGUCGAGCGGAAAGGCCCUUCGGGGUACUCGAGCGGCGAACGGGUGAGUAACACGUGAGCAAUCUGCCCUUAGCUUCGGGAUAGCCCCGGGAAACCGGGAUUAAUACCGAAUACGACCUCGGCCGACAUCGGCUUUGGUGGAAAGUUUUUCGGCUAGGGAUGAACUCGCGGCCUAUCAGCUUGUUGGUGGGGUAAUGGCCUACCAAGGCGACGACGGGGUAGCCGGCCUGAGAGGGCGACCGGCCACACUGGGACUGAGACACGGCCCAGACUCCUACGGGAGGCAGCAGUGGGGAAUAUUGCGCAAUGGGCGAAAGCCUGACGCAGCGACGCCGCGUGGGGAUGAAGGCCUUCGGGUUGUAAACCCCUUUCAGUUGGGACGAAGCUUCUCCGGUGAAUAGCCGGAUGGAGUGACGGUACCUUCACAAGAAGCACCGGCUAACUACGCGCCAGCAGCCGC